UACGAGAGGCCCAAACGUUAUUCGGAAUUACUGGGCUUAAAGAGUUCGUAGGCGGCAUGAAAAGUAGGGUGUGAAAGCCCUCGGCUUAACCGAGGAAUUGCGCUCUAAACUGUCGUGCUUGAGGAACCUAGAGGUGAGCAGAACAGAUGGUGGAGCGGUGAAAUGCGUUGAUAUCAUCUGGAAUACCGGAGGCGAAGGCGGCUCACUGGGGGUUUUCUGACGCUGAGGAACGAAAGCCAGGGUAGCGAACGGG
rnacentral:rRNA from 1 species